GCCUGGGUGGCUCAGUCGGUUGAGCGUCCGACUUCGGCUCAGGUCAUGGUAGCGCGGUUUGUGAGUUCAAGCCUUGCAUCGGGCU
rnacentral:tRNA from 1 species